rnacentral:rRNA from 1 species
GAUGAACGCUGGCGGCGUGCUUAACACAUGCAAGUCGAACGGAAAGGCUCCUGCUUGCAGGGGUACUCGAGUGGCGAACGGGUGAGUAACACGUGGGUGAUCUGCCCUGCACUUCGGGAUAAGCCUGGGAAACUGGGUCUAAUACCGGAUAGGACCACAUUUUGGAUGGUGUGGUGGAAAGUUUUUCGGUGUGGGAUGAGCUCGCGGCCUAUCAGCUUGUUGGUGGGGUAAUGGCCUACCAAGGCGUCGACGGGUAGCCGGCCUGAGAGGGUGUACGGCCACAUUGGGACUGAGAUACGGCCCAGACUCCUACGGGAGGCAGCAGUGGGGAAUAUUGCACAAUGGGCGCAAGCCUGAUGCAGCGACGCCGCGUGGGGGAUGACGGCCUUCGGGUUGUAAACUCCUUUCGCUAGGGACGAAGCGCAAGUGACGGUACCGGGAGAAGAAGCACCGGCUAACUACGU